UACGUAGGGUGCUAGCGUUGUUCGGAAUUAUUGGGCGUAAAGCGCGUGUAGGUGGUUAAUUAAGUCGGGUGUGAAAUCCCUGGGCUCAACCGAGGAAGUGCAUCCGAAACUAAUUAGCUGGAGUAUGGUAGAGGAAGGUGGAAUUCCUAGUGUAGAGGUGAAAUUCGUAGAUAUUAGGAGGAAUACCGGUGGCGAAGGCGGCCUUCUGGACCAUUACUGACACUGAGACGCGAAAGCGUGGGGAGCAAACAG
rnacentral:rRNA from 1 species